rnacentral:tRNA from 1 species
CGGGGCGUAGCUCAGCUUGGACUAGAGCGCCUGCAUGGGGUGCAGGAGGUCGCUGGUUCGAAUCCAGUCGCCCCGACCA